rnacentral:lncRNA from 1 species
CCAUUUUCCUGAAUUUCCGGAUCCACACACGUACAUAAAAACUCCGACGUACCGUGAGCCAGUGUCUGACUACCAGGUCCUCCGAGAGAAGGCCGCGUCUCAGAGGCGAGACGUGGAGCGAGCACUCACCCGCUUCAUGGCCAAGACAGGCGAGACCCAGAGUCUCUUCAAGGAUGACGUCAGCACUUUCCCCUGUGAGAGUCACCCCUCUGGACCCUGUUGUUUGACAUAGUGACGCCAUCUUCCCUUUGUUUCGGUGCGGUGGGGACAGACGAGUAUGCCUUCAUGAUUUUUCUCUAGUGCACCUUCUCUAGGUCUAUGGCCCUUUCCCCACAUCCCGCGCGCCUGUUCCUACCUGGUGAUUCCCAAGC